UCAUUCGGUUUCCAAAUGAGCCUGAUUUCUUCCCGGGUCCCCCCAUAAAUCCCGCAAUUAAUCCCACAUCCACCGUCCCACCUGACUCUCACCCCCAUCUUGACUGCCUCCGCGAGGCCGCCACAGCUCCAUUGCCGAGCUAACCACGCCCCUCGCUGAUCCGGUUCUCUCCUUCAGCGAUCUUCCAGUCCCACUGCGGCCGUGAGAUUCACCGCGCCGGUGUGGCAUCCCUCUGGUGGUUGCGCCUGCCAUUAUCCAUGGUACAAGCUCAGAACCCCCCUUGCCUUCCUGUUCCUCUCCCGUGUUGGUGUCCUAUGUGCCACCCAUGAUGUUCUCUCCUGCAUGGACAUCCCAAAGACGCUCUUAGGUGGCACAUGUGCUGGUCCUAUUGCUGCGUGUGAUGUGCCUUGCUGCUAAGCGUUGAUCCAGUUUGUUAGGAGAAAAGAAGAGAAAAGAAGCGGCGAAAGUGACACAGUCCAGUACAGAUCUCGCAUUGAAUCCUCCCCUAUAAGGGUUUCUCUGCCUACAACCUGAUGCAUUGUAAAGAUGCCGAGUACGCUACCACCAAGAUGUGGUGGUCUUAUUGAUGACGGCGAGCUCGCGUGCAUGUGAGAUAGUCCAGUCAGCGUGCUUGCGACGCUAACUAGACGGGUGGAAAAUAAUGUUGUUGUGAUAGC